rnacentral:rRNA from 1 species
UAGUAACAGCGAGUGAAGAGGGAAAAGCUCAAAUUUUGAAUCUGGUGUCUUUGACUCCCGAGUUGUAAUCUAGAGAAGUGUUUUCCGCGUUGGACCGUGUACAAGUUCCCUGGAACGGGGCGUCAUAGAGGGUGAGAAUCCCGUAUAUGCCACGGACUACCAAUGCUCUGUGAUACACUCUCAACGAGUCGAGUUGUUUGGGAAUGCAGCUCAAAAUGGGUGGUAAAUUCCAUCUAAAGCUAAAUAUUGGCGAGAGACCGAUAGCGAACAAGUACCGUGAGGGAAAGAUGAAAAGCACUUUGGAAAGAGAGUGAAACAGUACGUGAAAUUGUUGAAAGGGAAGCGUUUGAAGUCAGUCAUGUCUGUCGGGAUUCAGCCUGGCUUCUGCCUGGUGUACUUUCCGUCCGACGGGUCAGCAUCAAUUUCGAUCGAGGGAAAAAGACGUGAGGAAUGUGGCUGUCUUCGGGCAGUGUUAUAGACUCGUGUUGUAUGUCUCGGUUGGGAUUGAGGUACGCAGCGCGCCUAUUGGCCGGGGGUUCGCGCCCCUCGGUACGCGCUUAGGA